CCGGGUAAUGCCGAGCACCUCUAGAGAGACUGCCUACGCAAGUAGUGAGGAAGGUGGGGAUGACGUCAAGUCCGCAUGGCUCUUACGCCUAGGGCCACACACGUGCUACAAUGGCUACUACAAAGGGCUGCGAUACCGCGAGGUGGAGCCAAUCCCUAAAAAGUAGUCUCAGUUCGGAUUGGAGUCUGAAACUCGACUCCAUGAAGCUGGAAUUGCUAGUAAUCGCGCAUCAGCACGGCGCGGUGAAUACGUUCCCGGGCCUUGUACACACCGCCCGUCAAGCCAUGGAAGUUGGGGGUACCCGAAGUCGCCUUUAAAAAGCGCCGAAGGUAAAACCAGUGACUAGGGCUAAGUCGUAACAAGGUAACCGUA
rnacentral:rRNA from 1 species